rnacentral:rRNA from 1 species
UACAGAGGUCUCAAGCGUUGUUCGGAUUCAUUGGGCGUAAAGGGUGCGUAGGCGGUGAGGUAAGUCGGAUGUGAAAUCCCGGGGCUUAACCCCGGAACUGCAUUCGAUACUGCCUUGCUUGAGCACUGGAGAGGAGACUGGAAUUUACGGUGUAGCAGUGAAAUGCGUAGAUAUCGUAAGGAAGACCAGUGGCGAAGGCGAGUCUCUGGAACGCAACUGACGCUGAGACGCGAAAGCGUGGGGAGCAAACAGG